rnacentral:rRNA from 1 species
CGGACGGGUGAGUAACGCGUGGAUAACCCGCCUCACACUGGGGGAUAACAGUUAGAAAUGGCUGCUAAUACCGCAUAAGCGCACAGUACCGCAUGGUACGGUGUGAAAAACCCAGGUGGUGUGAGAUGGAUCCGCGUCUGAUUAGCCAGUUGGCGGGGUAACGGCCCACCAAAGCGACGAUCAGUAGCCGACCUGAGAGGGUGACCGGCCACAUUGGGACUGAGACACGGCCCAA